rnacentral:tRNA from 1 species
GCCUGGCUGGCUCCAUUGGUGGAGCAUGUGACUUUUGGUCUCAGAGUUGUGAGUUCAAGCCCCACGUUAGGUG